GGUGGUUGCUAAGGUGUUGCUAGGUGGUUGCUAGGUGGUUGCUAAGGUGUUGCUAUGGUAUCUGGGGUGGUUGCUAAGGUGUUGCUAAGGUUUUGCUAGGUGGUUGCUAAGGUGUUGCUAUGGUAUCCAGGGUGGUUGCUAAGGUGUUGCUAGGUGGUUCCUAAGGUGUUGCUAUGGUAUCCGGGGUGGUUGCUAAGGUGUUGCUAGGUGGUUGCUAGGCGGUUGCUAGGCGGUUGCUAAGGUGUUGCUAUGGUGUCUGUGGUGGUUGCUAAGGUGUUGCUAGGUGGUUGCUAAGAUGUUGCUAUGGUAUCUGGGGUGGUUGCUAAGGUGUUGCUAGGUGUAUCUGACUGGUCGCUAGGCAGUUGCUACCAUUUCUAAAGUGGUUGCUAAGCAGUUGCUAACGUUUUCCAGGUGGUUGCUAAGGUGUUGCUAUCUGGUUGCUAGGCAGUUGCUAACGUAUUACACAUGGUUGCUAAGUGGUUGCUAGGCAGUUGCUAAUGUUUUCCAGGUGGUUGCUAAGGUGUAUCUAACUGGUUGCUAGGCAGUAGUAGAUAAAAAGAAAGAGUGUUAAAUGUAGAAGUACAGAAAAAGGGAGAGCCUGAAAUAGAGAAGUAGAGAGAAAAUCAGCGUGAGAAGUAGAGAAAGAACACCCGAGAAUGUGAGAAAAAGAGUGACAAGUAGAGAGAAAUAUUGAGCGAGAGAAAGAGAAUUAGGGAAAAAGAGAGAUCGAGAAAUAAAGAAGUAGAGAAAGAAAGAGGAUGUAGUAGAGAGAUAGAUAGAAAGAGAAAGCAAGACAGAAAAGUAGAGUGAAAGAGAAGUAGAGAGAAGAGCGAGAAAUAAAGAGUAAGAGAGAAAUAGAGAAAUAGAAAAGUAGAAAGAAAGAGACAGAAAAGUAGAGAGAGUGAGAAAUAGAGAAGUAGAGAGAGAGUGAGAAAUAGAGAAGAAGAGAGCAAAAGAGAGUGAGAAAUAGAGAAGCAGAGAGAGAGUGAGAAAUAGAGAAGUAGAGAGAGAGUGAGAAAGAGAGAGUGAGAAAUAGAGAAGUAGAGAGAGUGAGAAAUAGAGACGUAGAGAGAGAGUGAGAAAGAGAGUGAGAAAUAGAGAAGUAGAGAGAGAGUGAGAAAUAGAGACGUAGAGAGAGAGUGA